GAUGAACGCUAGCGGCAGGCCUAAUACAUGCAAGUCGAGGGGCAGCGCGGUAGCAAUACUGGCGGCGACCGGCGCACGGGUGCGUAACGCGUAUGGAACCUACCCUUCACUGGGGGAUAGCCCGGAGAAAUUCGGAUUAAUACCCCAUGGUAUGUGAGAGAGGCAUUUCUUUCACAUUAAAGAUUUAUCGGUGAGGGAUGGCCAUGCGUAUGAUUAGCUAGUUGGCGGGGUAACGGCCCACCAAGGCGACGAUCAUUAGGGGGUCUGAGAGGAUGAUCCCCCACACUGGUACUGAGAUACGGACCAGACUCCUACGGGAGGCAGCAGUAGGGAAUAUUGGUCAAUGGGCGAGAGCCUG
rnacentral:rRNA from 1 species